GUUUGAAGAGAAGAGAAAAGAGAGGGAAAAGCUAGGGCAUGAGGAAGAAGAAGAAGAAGAAGAGAAGGAGAAGUUGGAGACCUAGGAGAUGAAGGAAGCUUAGGGAUGGAUUCCCCAUAUGAGGUUCUUUGAGAGGCUCGUGCUAGAGGACCGUGCUCGCGGCUUUGGUGCAUCAGGAGGCUCGGAAUGCAGGUAAGGGCAAUGACUGAGUCAACCAACCAUGAGUACGGAGAGCGUGAAGCGACGCGUACAUGUUUGGCCUGCCCGACUGCUUUGGUUGGGGGUUUAUUCGUAAAUGGCUGUAAU